rnacentral:misc_RNA from 1 species
GAAGAAGAAGAAUAAGAAGAAGAAAAUGAACAAGAAGAAUUUGGUGAGUAAGAGUAGGAUUAAUAAGAAAAAUAAGGACUUAGAAGAUGAUUCCGAUUUUGAUUUGGAGGAAGAUAUUGAAUUUGAAGAUUUUACAAACUCGCUUGGCAAUGAUACCAGUGACCUUAGAAGGACAGUGAGUUUGAUGGCAGGUGGAAUGUUUGAAGAAAACAAGGAAAAAACCAUGGAAGAAUUUGUUCAGAGGCUGUCUCAAUUCUCAGGACCUUCUGAUCGUAAGAAAGAGGUUAAUUUGAACAGAGCAAUUGUGGAGGCACAGACUGCAGAGGAAGUUUUGGAAGUUACUGCCGAGAUGAUUAUGGCUGUUGGAAAAGGUUUAAGGCCUUCACCUUUAUCCCCUUUGAAUAUCGCCACUGCCCUUCAUCGAAUUGCUAAGAAUAUGGAGAAAGUUUCAAUGAUGAAAACUCGUAGGCUGGCAUUUGCACGGCAAAAGGAGAUGUCUAUGUUAGUGGGUAUUGCAAUGACAGUUCUGCCAGAAUGCUCAGCUCAAGGUAUCUCAAAUAUUUCAUGGGCAUUGUCCAAGAUAGGUGGAGAGCUGCUUUACUUGUCAGAGAUGGAUAGAGUUGCAGAAGUGGCUUUGACCAAGGUUGGCGAGUUCAAUUCUCAGAAUGUUGCUAAUGUUGCUGGAGCUUUUGCUUCAAUGCAGCACUCUGCUCCUGAUCUCUUUUCAGCAUUGUCAAAAAGAGCAUCAGAUAUAGUUCACAGUUUCCAAGAGCAGGAGCUUGCUCAGGUUUUGUGGGCUUUUGCUUCUCUAUACAACAUAGCUGACCCUUUGCUCGAGUCUUUGGAUAAUGUUUUCAAGGACAUUAACCAGCUUCAAUGCUACUUGAUGGCGGAAACAUCAAAUUGUAAUGAAGAGGACAGAAGGGGAGGGAGCGAAGAUCUUGAUAGAGAGGAAGUUUUAGGCCCUCCAGUACUCAGAUUUAAUAGGGAUCAACUUGGUAAUAUAGCUUGGUCAUAUGCUGUUCUUGGACAACUUAACCGGACUUUCUUUUCUAAUGUUUGGAGAACCCUGAGCCAUUUUGAAGGGCAAAGGAUUUCAGGGCAAUAUAGAGAGGAUAUCAUGUUUGCUUCUCAGGCUCAUCUUGUAAAUCAAUGUCUGAAGCUUGAGUAUCCGCAUCUUCAGUUGGCUUUUCGAGGUGAUCUAGAGGAGAAAAUUGGUCGUGCUGGGAAAACCAAAAGAUUUAAUCAGAAUAUAACUUCAUCAUUUCAGAAGGAAGUCGGUCGUCUUUUGGUCAGCACUGGCCUUGAUUGGGUGAGAGAAUUUGUAGUGGAUGGAUACACUUUGGAUGCUGUUGUAAUUGAUAAGAAGAUUGCUUUGGAGAUUGAUGGACCAACUCAUUUCUCAAGAAACACUGGAGUACCCUUAGGGCAUACCAUGUUAAAACGGCGGUACAUUUCUGCUGCUGGUUGGAAAGUGGUUUCAUUGUCUUAUCAAGAGGUGAGUUUCCACAUCUCUCAUUCCUGCAUUGUUAUGUUUACCUAUGCACACUUGUGUUGACAAACAAAACACGGGGAAGAUGUUAAGUUGAGAUGAUUGUGCAUAUAUUUUGGUGGUUAAAUUUUUUAGCAGAAUAUCAACAUUAUAUCCACAAAAUCAUAUUGCUGGGAGGUUCAUUACAUAUUUGUCUCUAUUCCAAUUUGUGGGUAAAUGGGCAAACUAGCAAUGAAUGGUUUGUGUUCUUAUUGGGGUAGAAGAUUUGGAGAACCAGAUUUUCUUUGAUGGGGAUAGCAGAAAUGCUUAUGUUAAGUGCCUCACUAGGAAAUGAAUUUCAAAUGUCUGUCCAUCCUCCUGCAGCAAAUUCACUCUGCUGCAUCAUUUUCCUCCCUAGUCCUCUACUUGCAAUGCCUGUAUCUUUAUGCGUACACAUAAAGAAAAUUUUGGAGAGUUUAAUGUUCUUAUGAUACUUUUAGUAUAGCAUAACAGAAAGUGAUGAAGUCUUAAUGGAAUGAAAUUUGUUGUUCUUUCUUAUGGUACAUUUUUCAUUCUAGUCUACUGCACGCACUUUUAGUGUUGAGUUUGAUUCAAGAUUAUCAUAUUUGAAUACAUGCACUUGUGUGUCAGAUACACAGAUGUCAGGCCUCCCUCAUUUAAAUCCUUCCAUCUUAAAAAUAUAAGAGAAUUUCACUAGCUAGUUUGGAGUUCUGGCCGAGACAUGUUGCCAGUGUCCACUACAAUAUUUUAUUACUGAAACUAGUGCUAUGGUGCUUGCUCAAAUUUUUGUAACCCAUUCAAUUCUUGUAUAGCAAUCUCAUAGCAUGUUCGCUUUUCAGAGAUGACUUUUUCUUGAAAACAAUAGCAGAAUCCAUUGCUGGGCUUAUGAUAGCAAACCGUUUCUUGCACUGAAUAUUGGUUUGAACUUCCUCCCAAUUAAAUAUUUUGACUAUUUAUAUGAUAUAUAAAUUGAUAGUAUGUUUCUUUUUUCAACUUUUUUCUUCCAGUGGGGGAAACUUCAAGGUGGUUUUGAGCAGCUAGACUACUUGAGGGAAAUUCUCAAAGUCCAUUUA